rnacentral:rRNA from 2 species
UGGCUCAGGACGAACGCUGGCGGCGUGCUUAAUACAUGCAAGUCGAACGAACUCUGGUAUUGAUUGGUGCUUGCAUCAUGAUUUACAUUUGAGUGAGUGGCGAACUGGUGAGUAACACGUGGGAAACCUGCCCAGAAGCGGGGGAUAACACCUGGAAACAGAUGCUAAUACCGCAUAACAACUUGGACCGCAUGGUCCGAGUUUGAAAGAUGGCUUCGGCUAUCACUUUUGGAUGGUCCCGCGGCGUAUUAGCUAGAUGGUGGGGUAACGGCUCACCAUGGCAAUGAUACGUAGCCGACCUGAGAGGGUAAUCGGCCACAUUGGGACUGAGACACGGCCCAAACUCCUACGGGAGGCAGCAGUAGGGAAUCUUCCACAAUGGACGAAAGUCUGAUGGAGCAACGCCGCGUGAGUGAAGAAGGGUUUCGGCUCGUAAAACUCUGUUGUUAAAGAAGAACAUAUCUGAGAGUAACUGUUCAGGUAUUGACGGUAUUUAACCAGAAAGCCACGGCUAACUACGUGCCAGCAGCCGCGGUAAUACGUAGGUGGCAAGCGUUGUCCGGAUUUAUUGGGCGUAAAGCGAGCGCAGGCGGUUUUUUAAGUCUGAUGUGAAAGCCUUCGGCUCAACCGAAGAAGUGCAUCGGAAACUGGGAAACUUGAGUGCAGAAG